rnacentral:lncRNA from 1 species
UUUGGCCCUAAAUAUUUGCUGAAUGAGUGAAUGAGCCUGCCCAUCCUCAAUGUCCUGCUUGUCUCAAGAUCAGAGCCAGUUUUCAAACGGAGCCCAUUGAUUAAAGAAGAGACCAAGUCCCCUUGAGAAAGGACACUGCAAUAUCCCUUCAAGUGUAUGCAAUAAACAUUUCCCCAAUCUUCC